UACGUAGGGGGCAAGCGUUGUCCGGAUUUAUUGGGCGUAAAGAGCUCGUAGGCGGUUUGUCGCGUCUGCUGUGAAAUCCCGAGGCUCAACCUCGGGCCUGCAGUGGGUACGGGCAGACUGGAGUGCGGUAGGGGAGAAUGGAAUUCCUGGUGUAGCGGUGAAAUGCGCAGAUAUCAGGAGGAACACCGAUGGCGAAGGCAGGUCUCUGGGCAUUAACUGACGCUGAGGAGCGAAAGCAUGGGGAGCGAACAGG
rnacentral:rRNA from 1 species